ensembl:lncRNA
GUGAAAACAGUAAGAGGGAACAGUGAGAACAGUAAGAGGGAACAGUGAGAACAGUAAGAGGGAACAGUGAGAACAGUAAGAGGGAACAGUGAGAGCAGUAAGAGGGAACAGUGAAAACAGUAAGAGGGAACAGUGAGAGCAGUAAGAGGGAACAGUGAAAACAGUAAGAGGGAACAGUGAGAACAGUAAGAGGGAACAGUGAAAACAGUAAGAACAGUAAUAGGGAACAGUAGGAGGGAACAGUGAGAACAGUAAGAGGGAACAGUAGGAGGGAACAGUGAGAACAGUAAGAGGGAACAGUGAGAACAUUAAGAGGGAACUGUGAGAACAGUAAGAGGGAACAGUGAAAACAGUAAGAGGGAACAGUGAGAACAGUAAGAGGGAACAGUGAGAACAGUAAGAGGGAACAGUGAGAACAGUAAGAGGGAACAGCGAAAACAGUAAGAGGGAACAGUGAGAAGAGUGAGAGGGAACAGUGAGAACAGCAAGAGGGAACAGUGAGAACAGUAAGAGGGAACAGUGAGAACAGUGAGCGCAGUAAGAGGGAACUGUGAGAACAGUAAGAGGGAACAGUGAGAACAGUAAGAGCAGUAAGAGGGAACAGUGAGAACAGUAAGAGGCAACAGUAAGAGGGAACAGUGAGAGCAGUAAGAGGGAACAGUGAGAACAGUAAGAGGGAACAGUGAAAACAGUAAGAGGGAACAGUGAGAACAGUGAGAACAGUAAGAGGCAACAGUAAGAGGGAACAGUGAGAACAUUAAGAGGAAACAGUGAGAACAGUAAGAGGAAACAGUGAGAGGGAACAGUGAGAACAGUAAAAGGGAACAUUGAGAACAGUAAGAGGGAACAUUGAGAACAGUAAGAGGAAACAGUGAGAACAGUAAGAGGCAACAGUGAGAGCAGUAAGAGGGAACAGUGAGAACAGUAAGAGGCAACAGUAAGAGGGAACAGUGAGAGCAGUAAGAGGGAACAGUGAGAACAGUAAGAGGGAACAGUGAGAACAGUGAGAGCAGUAAGAGGGAACAGUGAAAACAGUAAGAGGGAACAGUGAGAACAGUAAGAGGGAACAGUGAGAACAGUAAGAGGGAACAGUGAGAACAGUAAGAGGGAACAGUGAUAACAGUAAGAGGGAACAGUGAGAACAGUAAGAGGGAACAGUGAAAACAG